UUUUCUGUUUAUCAUAAAGACACACAAGCAGUCUACAGAUAUAUGUGAAUUUAUUUUGUUGUACUCAAUAAUCAUAAGACAGACUUAGCGUUCAACAAAUUGAAGAAUUAUUUACAACUGUGUAUCUCACCGAAUCCUUUAUUUAAAGAAAGUAAACAAUACAUAUCUUCUAUUCAAGUGGGAACCCAGUUGGAAGUUUUCAAACAAUUAAAAAAAUAGUACUUUCAAAUGGGCUAAAAAGCGAAGUUUGCAAAUUACUAAUCUCAUAAAAUAAGUUUCUUUCGGCUGACUACUCUGGUGACCUCGCUGCUCCUGCGGCGUUUCUCCUGCAACGCCUUGCCUUCGUUGUCCUGGGUACUGCUUGACAACGGACGACGUGUCGGUCGGGAUGGGAUUAGGAUGUUAUGGGGCAGGGCGUAUCGUCCACAGGUGAGUCAACGCUCGGCCUGGGACCACCUUUGCCGACCCCGGACUCCACCGACCCUUUUGGAGCACGCCAAGUCCUUUUCGUCGCCUCCGGAGGACCUCCUGACGGCUGGAACAGGCUUAGGAUAUUAUGGGGCAGGAUGUAUCGUCGGUGUAAUAGACAUUUUGUCUUCUUCGACUAUAGACUUUAAAUCACUAUCACUGUCGGAUUCAGUGUGAAUUAUAGCUUGUGAUUCGUCUAGUUCUGCAAACUUACUUUCUGUAAAUUCAGCAUGCGGUAGAAAAUCAUUGGAAAUAUUAAAAUCUUCAGAAAUCGAUGAUCAUAUAACACUUGGAUAUAAGUCCAGCAAGAAAGUGUUACAAUGUUUUGGCUGCUAUUCUUUAAUGCCGUACUGGAGUACAGUAGUCAUUAGAUAUAAGCAAUCGCAAACACUUCAAACUAAUGUUGUCUGCUUUCAAAACAAAUGCAGCCAGAUUAUAAAACCUGAGCAGCCAACAAUGACUUCUUGGCUGUGUGAUAAAAUGGUGCACACUAAGUGCGCUGCUUUUAGCGGCAGAAAGUGAUGACCUAGCUAAGUGCCCAAAUCUAAAAUACUAUUACCUAGGUUGCGAACGAGAUGAAAUCGUUUAUGCGCCAGGCCUAAGGUGCCUUGAAAGGACUGAUCAACAAUUUUGAUGUAGCUAGGAUUGUUUUCGUCGAGCUCUGAUAGCCUUAAGCUGUCAAGAACGCCGCUGGUGGUAAGUCAAAGGAUCGUUUGGGAAAACCAGAAAAAAACACGAAAAGCGCAUUAGUAGAAUCAUGCCGAUCACGAGGAUGAUGGAUAAUAUAGGAAGAAGAUAGCCCUGAUGCAGUGCGUCCUGUAUUACAUGAUCACCAUUUUAAUGUUCAAGAAUUACGCUCUUGCUGUACAUUAAACAGCUCUGUUUGAACGGUCUAAAUAAAAUACGACUGCAUUUGCUGAGUUAUAAUUUGAAACUGAA